ensembl:lncRNA
UCGGGCUAGCUAGCCAAUGGGAUAGGUCCAUGAUUUGAUUCGUCCCCGCACGUGCGGCUCGGUGACGGUGACUUGUCACUCGAUUGCAUUGGUCAUCAACUGUCUUUUUUACAUGACCACGGAAUCAAAAACAUCAACAACAGCAAAUGAGUGGCGUGUUACGAUCGAAAACACAGUUUGAAACCACCUCGCGACUUUCUGCGUUGUCAUGGUUACCCCACACUCUUUCUUCAAUGAGAGCCAAGAAAGUAAAGUUGAGUAAUGGAGGAUUUGAGGUUACCUAAAAAGCAUAAGAAACUGGACCAACAGCCAAGCGUACGCAGUUUUUUUCAGACAGUAAGUAACUUGAUACCGAGCUUUGAGUAAGCAAAUAAAAUGAGUAGCCUCGUAAAAGCAGAAUAUUAAAUAUAGCUCAUAAAGGUCAGUCGCUGUUCUUUUGAUAAAAUGACAUGGUUACGAUGCAGGCAGCACAGAGAGAGAAGGAGAGAGACAGGCAUGCUGAAAGCAGUGGCCAGACAGGGACAUGCUCUGAACAUGCAGGUGAUCAGGCAUCACAGAGAGACAGGGAGAGAGACAGGCAUGCUGAAAGCAGUGGCCAGACAGGGACAUGCUCUGGACAUGCAGGUGAUAAGGCAGCACAGACAGACAGGGAGGCAGAGAGGCAGGCUGAAAGCAGUGGCCAGACAGGGGUAUGCUCUGGAAAUGCAGAUGAUCAGAUCCAUCCAACUGUCUGCAAACAUGGAUCUCUGAUGCAGCAGUGCAGUUGGGAGAUUCUUACGGGUGCCAAGUUUGCAGAAAAUUUGGCGAUUACCCAGCCAUGGUUGCACAUGUUCAAACACAUGACAGAGCAGCCAUAUCUCACAAUGGCUACAAAAUAGAGAGGUGCCAACACAACUGUGCCAACACAAGAUCUCCACACUACCACUGUGUGUGCUCAACCAUUACUGGCAGCAAAAUUUCAUGCAUAAAGCACCUGCAGACCUGCCCUGGCAUGAGGACACCACCUCCAUCUCAAGGCCUCAGCACGCCGAGCCCAAUGCCAGCCACGCACCCGCCACCUCCAUCUCAAGGCCUCAGCAAGCCGAGCCCAAUGCCAGCCACCACCCGCCACCUCCAUCUCAAGGCCUCAGCACGCCGAGCCCAAUGCCAGCCACGCACCCGCCACCUCCAUCUCAAGGCCUCAGCACGCCGAGCCCAAUGCCAGCCACGCACCCGCCACCUCCAUC